UACGUAGGCAGCGAGCGUUGUUCGGAGUUACUGGGCGUAAAGGGUGUGUAGGCGGUUCUCUAAGUUUGGUGUGAAAUCUCCCGGCUCAACCGGGAGGGUGCGCCGAAAACUGCAGGGCUAGAGUCCUGGAGAGGAAGGUGGAAUGCUUGGUGUAGAGGUGAAAUUCGUAGAUAUCAAGCGGAACACCGGUGGCGAAGGCGGCCUUCUGGACAGUGACUGACGCUGAGACGCGAAAGCGUGGGGAGCAAACAGG
rnacentral:rRNA from 1 species